ensembl:lncRNA
UUUAAGAUCAAACACAGAGCUGAAAUAGCCUCUCACUGUUACCAAGAAGACCACAGGGUGCCGAACCUGCAUUGACUUUUACUAAUUAGCUCACCUGCCGCAGCUCGCCUGCCAGGUGUUUUUCUUAAUUAGUUAAUUGGUUGCAUCUGGUGUGUUUCACUUAAAAGGGAACCGGACAGUACAUUUGUUUGUGUGCUGUUUUGUCUGUUGUGACUUAUUGAACAUCUCUUCCAGUUUCACAGGUUAAAGACUUUUUGAAGUAAAGAGGAGCAUCUCAUCUGAACCUGAUGUCUAUUAUGGAUAUUUAACUGCAGUUCUGUGAGUAUCCCAACUUAACCAUGAAGCAUAACUGCAAACUGUAAAUCAUUAAUUUCUCAUUACUCUUGGGCACAUUGAUGUAUUUUGGCUUCCUGGUGAGUUAACCUGUUACCUGAAGGUUGAUCUGAGUAGUGAGGAUGUUUUAUUGGUUCAUGGGUUACUUAGGUGUUUGGUUUAUGUUGGUUUUAAUGAUUUGUUAAAAUGGUUACAGGCUCCAAGUUAUUGUUGUAAACUGGAGUAAUGCGUUGGGUUCUGAUAUCUUCAGUCUUCUUUCAUUCUAUUCUCCUGAGCUCUGCAUCUUCAUCACAUGAGUGUUGCUUUAAUGAUGAGGCAGUGGUCUGAGUGAGCAGAGGUGCAUACUGGGGUACAGAGCUGUCUCGAGUCUACAGGUCUGUAGACACGCCCCCUCAGGGGAAACCGUGUGUUUGAGAAAAUGUCGUGUCGUCAGUUACAUGGACUGGAAUGUUCUUAAAGAUGGAGACAGGGAUUCAGAAGGAGAAACACCAGGGGGAGAUGAGGGGGCACCUCAUCUCAACGACUAUAACACAACUUCAGUCUGACACAUAGAACCAUGGAACACAUUCAGCAGUCCCCUCUAGGCAUCGUGACUCCUCAGGAACAGUUUCAUUUCCAAGAAGGUCUUAUUUGGGGCCAUCCCCAUAUGGAUCCUGCUCCUCAAGAGCCACCCCCCUCCACUGGGUGGUCUUCUGAACAGAUGACCUCCUUCCUGUCCUCAGGCUGACUAAAGCUGCACCGUUUUGUGUCUGUGAAGGCCCCUCAUUCAGGAAACCACUGGACUACAAAGACAUGGCUUCAGAGAUGUUGAAUCAAGGUUUUUACCCUGCAUGAUUGUUUGGCCUUUAAUGGCUCAUUGGUCUGUGUGUUUGGGUUUGACAUGAGAUGGAAGAUUUUUCAUCAUCGCUAGGGUUCUACUGUGUGUGUGUCUCCCACUCACACCUGGCAUGGGGUUCUACGUGCCUGUCCUGGGUUCUAUGUGUGUGUCCGGCUUGCUUUGACAGUGAUAAUGUUCAUACGGGGUUCUGUGUGAUUGGCUUGGGAUAUUGGAAUGGUCAACUAAAUCAUACCUGAUGGACGGCCAAACGUUUACUUAAGGGCCUCCAGUAGACAUGAAGAACCCUGAGCGACGCUCCGGAGCGAGAUCCAACACACUGGGCAGGAAGGAGAAUAUCCAACUCAAGUGUAAAAGGAUGCAAGCGGCGUGUUCAGAUCAGUGACUUCAAACAAGGACUACACCAAUCAGGAUCAAUGGAGGAUGGACACUAAAAGGAAUUCCACAAGGAGAGUCCGACAUUGGAAAGGGACCUAAAUGGAUAUUCAAGAUGACUGUAAUGAGACGGCUCUUCUUACCUGGCUGGAUUGAUGGAGAGCCCUGUGGAUCUUUUCUUGCUCUCAGUUGCACGUCUUCUCAGGCUGAACUGUAAUUGUUUCGGACGGGACUAGCUGAACGAUUGGUUCCCUUAAAUCAUAACCAAUCCGGGAACUCCAGCUAGUGCGCUCUUCGAGCUGAAGUUGUGCUCUUCAGCUGAGGAGGUAAGGAAACCUUCACUGGGGCUUCAAGGUGUAAAGAGGAGAAUGUUUCAAAGUGUUCCAUGGUACUCUGAUGAAGACCGUUGUUGUGUUCCACUGGCUGCGAGGAAGAACCCACACAUCUUCCUCUUGGCCUUUCUCCUCUGAGAAUCCUGGCGCCAUCUUGAAGGAUAUUCCAGCUCAUGUAACUGAUGUCACGACAGAUUCUCAAACACUUGGUUUCUCCUGAGGGGCGUGUCUAUGGAACUGAAGACUUCAGACAGCACUGUAUCCCAGCAUGCAUCUCUGCUCACUCAGACCACACCCGCAUGAGUAGGAUGCAACACUGUAGUGAUGGAGAUGUAGAGUUUUAUAAGUAACGAGGGAGCAGACUAAGGUGAUUAGAACACAAUGGAAGUCUGAAAAUCUUUAUGCCAUGAAGAUGGUUGGAUAGUUCAGGAAUUGGGCUUCUUUUUAUUAUGGGCAGUCCUUUCACUCAGAUGCCCACUUCUCACUGGAGCUGUACAUGUGUUGGCUGGCUGGCAUAAUUUGCUGUUGGUGAUGAGGCGGUCAGGGUGACGUUGCAGGGCUAUGGUCGGCUCUCUGUGAGCUCAACGUUUAGAUUUGCUCUGUAUGGUUUGUACCCUGAAUAAUCUAGAUAAUUGUAAAAUGUAGACACGGUUUUGUUUUGAAUGAUUCCAGGAUUUUAGGUUUAAAGUUGUUGUGGGACAAACAUGGUAGUUUGGUUCUUAUGGUUUUGAGUGAUAUAACUUGUACACACUGGGUGCAUAAUAAUGUAAAGGUACACUGAAUAGUAGUAAUGACCAACAGCAACAAACAGAUCUCCUCAAGGUAAGUCUGUUGGCUGUGUUUUAAUGAAGACCAUCGCUGGACUUCAGGAUCUUCCUCCGUUCAGCUCAAGGUGUCUGCCUCCUCACCCAGAGCAAGACGUCCACCUCCUCACCCAGAGCCAGACCGCCACCUCCUGUCAGAAGUCCUACAGAACAGCUGAAAGGCGAGGCUUAGAGGCUGGGGACCGGAGGCUUUUGGUGCCAGGGUGGAUCGGAGACUGAGGCUGGAGACCAGGGGCCUGCAGCACCGGACCAGUGGACCAGGAAUCCAUGGCUGAAGGAGCUGAUGGAGGAGCCCUGCUGAAGGAGCAGAUGGAGGAGCCGUGCUGAAGGCCCUGGGCUGGUGGUGGAGCUGGUGGAGGGCCUGCCUGGUGAAUGACGUCUGUCGUGGGGUAGAUGGAGCUUGACUCUGAAACCAGGACUCUGAGGAGAGCUGCUGGAGGAGCUGAGACCCUGGAGGACGACUAGGAAUCGACCAACAAGGAUUCCUCAACGUGUUUCUGGAGCGGAGGCGAGCUGGUAGGGGAGCCGUGAAUCUGGAAGAUGACCAUCACUCUACCAACAAGGAUUACUUUAGGGCCAGAUCCGCGCUGUUUGUUCCAGAACAGGACUCUGGCUGAGGAGAGCUGAUGGAGGAGCCAAGAAUCUGGAGAACGACAUCACUCCCCCAACCAGGAUCCUCACCAGGAAUCUGGACGACUGAUGGAGAAGCCAUACAUCUGGAAGGCAAAUCCUGAGGACCACCAGGACUCUACCAUCAAGGAUUCCUCAUAAAUGUGCAUUAUCUGGACAUAGUGGACUAGACACACCUGAGCUGAACCUCACCUGAUCCUGUUUGGUCGGGGGUAGACACACCUGAGCUGAACCGCCCUGAUCCUGACAUCCUGCUGGUCCCGUCUCCUCAGUUCAUCCGAGCCUCGUCCUCCAGAAGACCUGCUGAGCUCAGCAGUCUGAGGCUGAUGGAUCAAUGACCUCCAGUGGGAGUGAUCUUCUUGACCCCACAUGUAACCGUGUGCUUCCACACGCCUUUUCCUCACGUCUGUCACUAACCUCACUACUUCACUACUCUCUACUGCUUCCUCUUUUCUUCCUUCUCUGUGGUUCAAACCUUUACACUGAAGGCGUGUCUUCCUGCCCUCAGAGGGUUUAGCGUUAGGGUUGAGAGUCAGGGUUUAGAGUCAGGGACAGAGCUGGUCAGGGAGGACUGCUUUUACACAAACCUUCAUUUGCUUUCAGAAUGGUGGUGACAUUUUGAAAAGAUUCAUUUGGGAAAAUUGUUUUCCUCUGCUUUCCUUUACAAAUUGUUUUAAACUUCUGUCAAGUGUUUUUGUUUAUAUAUUAAAAUCCCACAUUGACUUCUACAUGUUUGAGGUUCAUUUAAUUGUCCUUUAACUUGGUUAACGUCAAGCUAAACUCCUGCAAUACAUUUAAUAUACAUGAUUGUUAUUCUGCAAUGUUCACAUAAUCCAUUUUGUAAAAAUAUGAAACCUCCAUAUUACUACUAAAUUCAAGCCUAUUCAUGUAUUUAACAAUGUUUAUACUGCCCCGCAGGCCAUUCUCUGCU